GGAAAUGUUACAAGACAUUCUUUAGAGAGAAAUAAAAUAAUACAGAUCAGAAACUUGGAUCUACAUAAAGAAGACAAAAGCAUCAAAGACGGAAUAAGUGCAGGACCUCAGCUGAUUGGAUGAUGCCCACCAUAUUGGGGGAGGAUCUUCCUCACCCAGUCUACCAACUGCCAUGCCAAUUUCCUCCAGAAACACCCUCACAGACACACCUGAGUAGCCGAAUCAUUCUAAUUGAAAGCUAAACCACCUGGAUUUUCCUUACAGCAGAAGAGGAACAAGGUCAGUGCCUACUGAAGCACUGAGAAUAAUGAAUGUUUUCCCAGCUACCUGGGUAUCCCUUAAUUCCGUCAAGUUGACACUUAAGUCAACUAUCACAAAACUUAAGAAAAGCAAUUUUUCUGAGUUAGGGAAUGUAAAGAGAAAUUGUAUAAAAUUAGCUUUUAGUUUUAAAAAAGGACGCAGAAAUAAAAGAGCCUAUCUCCAGCUGGCUGAAGGCCUGGGAAGAAAAUUAUCUGACAAUGUUAUUUGGGAACUGCAGCACAAAUGGUUUCUAGAAGGACUCAUUGAACAUUUGCAGGAAGAGAAGCACGUAGAAGUCAAAUCGUAUUUGUAAAAGGAGUAGAGUGAAAGACAGAGCUUUACUUUUUUGUCAUGCAACAGGAUUCCAUCUGAGAUGAAACUUGGAGCCAUCACCUUUCCCACUCAGACCUGUUCCAUUUUCACAAUGUGACCUCUUCAGAGAGCAAAAUCAAUAAUGUGUCUGUCUCAAAAGCUCUGGUUGUGAUACUUACUUUUAAGGCUUAUCAUGACUUUCAUAAAAACAGCAAUAAAUGUCCUAAUAAAUGUGCAAUUCUAAAUAACAUAAGGAUAUUUUCUUAAACUGGCUGAGGGC
rnacentral:lncRNA from 1 species